AUCUUGAUAGUUUAAUUAAAACACUAUAUUGUGGUUAUAGGGAUGUUUACUAGCUCUGGAUA
rnacentral:tRNA from 1 species